GAAAGAAUAAGAAUAGCAAGAAAUGAUAUUGAACUACUCUUUGCAAAUAAAAGAGAUAAAGAAUUUGGAAAUUCUCCUGUGGCUAUGAUGAGGAAUAGCAGAAAUGGCAAAGAUAAGAAACUGUUGUAAAACAUGAUCUCAAUAGACGAAAGCCCAUCCUCUGCUCCUGACUUCUCAACCAACACAAGGUACAUGGUCUGGAAGAAAACAGAAAUAAAGGCCAAACUGUAUCCAAAAAGAUCAAAGGAAAAAUCUCCAAGAGCUGCAAUAAGAACUCCGGCAGCAAUUAGUAAUACGGAAAGUGUUACCUGAGUUGUAGGUCUACCCUUUCCGGUAAAGAAUCCAGCUACUAGUACAGCAAGUGGCGUAAGCCUUUUGAUGGCAAUAUACAUGGGAAUAUUUACUCCUUUCAAGCUUGCUAAAGCAAAUCCGACAUUUGCAUUGUAGAACAAUGAAACUGGGAAAAGUCUUUUCGCAGUCUCUGCAUUUAAAUCUUUGGCUUUUGUGUAUCCCAUGACUCUACCAAGGUGUAUGAGCAAAGCUGUUGUUACUUGCUGAACUGCGAGAAGAGUCAUUGAGUGAGCAUAUUGCAUGAUCACUGCCUUGUUGAUGAAAACCAUAGCCAUAGAUGCAAUUCCAUACGAAAAUGCAGCAGUUAAACUCAAAUAAGGACUUGAAUCCAUUAUCUCUAUUUGUCCAACCAAACAAAAAGGAAAGAAUCCUUCAGUAACAGAAAAUAUUUGAACCUCAAAG
rnacentral:misc_RNA from 1 species